rnacentral:lncRNA from 1 species
GGCGCCAUGUUUUGGAAGUUUGACCUGCACACGAGCUCGCACCUUGACACGCUGCUGGAGCGGGAGGAUCUGAGUCUGCCCGAGCUGCUGGACGAGGAGGACGUGCUGCAGGAGUGCAAGGUCGUCAACCGCAAGCUGCUGGACUUCCUGCUGCGGCCGCUGCACCUGCAGGCCAUGGUGGCCUGGGUCACCCAGGAGCCGCCGGCCAGCGGCGAGGAGCGGCUGCGCUACAAGUACCCCAGCGUGGCCUGUGAGAUCCUGACGUCGGACGUGCCCCAGAUCAACGACGCGCUGGGCGCGGACGAGUCCCUGCUGCAUCGCCUCUACGGCUUUUUGCAGAGCAGCGGCAGCCUCAACCCGCUGCUGGCCAGUUUCUUCAGCAAGGUCAUGGGCGUCCUCAUCAACCGCAAGACUGACCAGCUCGUGUCCUUCCUGCGGAAGAAGGACGACUUCGUGGACCUGCUGCUGCAGCACAUCGGCACCUCGGCCAUCAUGGACCUGCUGCUGCGCCUCCUCACCUGCGUGGAGCGGCCGCAGCUGAGGCAGGACGUGGUCAACUGGCUCAAUGAGGAGAAGAUCAUUCAGAGGCUCAUCGAGCAGAUCCACCCGUCGAAGGACGACAAUCAACAUUCCAACGCGUCCCAGUCCCUGUGUGACAUCAUCCGCCUGAGCCGGGAGCAGAUGAUCCAAGUGCAGGACAGCCCGGAGCCUGACCAGCUGCUGGCCACCCUGGAGAAGCAGGAGACCAUCGAUCAGCUCCUGAGCAACAUGCUGGAGGGGGAGCGGAGCCCGUCCGUCCUCGUGAGUGGGAUCCAGGUGCUGCUGACACUGCUGGAGCCCAGGAGGCCCAGGUCUGAGUCCAUGACUGUGAACAACUUCUUCAGUAGUGUGGAUGGACAGCUGGAGCUCCUGGCCCAGGCAACCCUGGACAGUGCCGUGUCCAGUGCGGGGGCCCUGCACGCCCUGCGCCCACGUCUUAGCUGCUUCCACCAGCUCCUGCUGGAGCCGCCUGAGCUGGAGCCGCUGCGCACAACGUGGGGCAGCCUGGCCCCACCCCUGGGCAACACGCGGUUGCACGUGGUCAAGCUGCUGGCCAGCGCCCUGAGCGCCAACGACGCUGCCCUGACCCAGGAGCUCCUGGCCCUGGAUGUGCCCAACACCAUGCUGGACCUCUUCUUCCACUACGUGUUCAACAACUUCUUGCAUGCCCAAGUGGAGGUGUGUGUGAGCACGAUGCUGAGCUCCGCGCCCCCUGCCGACAGCAGCUCAGACACGCCCCCCGAGAACCCUGUCGUGAAACAUCUGCUGCAGCGGUGCCGCCUGGUGGAGCGCAUCCUGACCUCCUGGGAGGAGAACGACCGAGUCCAGUCUGCAGGGGGCCCUCGGAAAGGCUACAUGGGCCACUUGACGAGCGUGGCCAAUGCCCUGGUGCAGAACUCGGAGAAAGGGCCCAAUGCAGAGCAGCUGCAACAGCUCCUGAAGGAGCUGCCGCAGGAGCAGCGGGAGUGCUGGGAGGCUUUCGUGUCGGGCCCCCUGGCGGAGACCAACAAGAAGAACACGGUAGACCUGGUGAACACGCACCACCUGCACUCCUCCAGCGACGACGAGGACGACAGGCUCAAGGAGUUCAACUUUCCUGAGGAGGCGGUGCUGCAGCAGGCUUUCAUGGACUUCCAGAUGCAGCGCAUGACCUCGGCCUUCAUCGACCACUUCGGCUUCAACGACGAGGAGUUCGGGGAGCAGGAGGAGAGUGUGAACGCGCCUUUCGACAAGACGGCCAGCAUCACCUUCUCCCUGAGUGCAGACGACGACAACCCCAAUGCCAACCUGCUGGAGAUCUGCUACAAGGACCGCAUCCAGCAGUUUGACGACGACGAGGAGGACGAGGAGGAGGGCCAGGGCUCUGGGGAGUCUGACGGGGAGGACGGUGCCUGGCAGGGCGGCCAGCUGGCCAGGGCGGGCCGCCUGGGCCAGGCCCCGGGCGUGCGGUUUGGGGCCCAGGAGGCUGCAGUGACGGAAGUCCAGCGAGGCUGCAGAUGGAGAAAGCCUUUGGGGUCAGCCUUCCCUGGGGGAGCCGGGGCAGCACGGACAGCGAGGAGGAGGACGACGACGAGGACGAGGACGAGGACAGCCGGGCCCGCGGCAGGCCCGGGCCCCCCUGCUACCCCAGUGCUGGCCGCCAGCCUCCGGGCCCCAGCUGGACAGCUGCCUUUGACCCAGUGCCUACGGACGGCCCGGCCAGCCCCCAGGACUGCAGGGACAAGGAGCCCCGCGGGGAGCGUCCGGACCUCCCAGCCCCGAGCCCGGCUGGCCCUGCAGCCCCCAGCACCCUGCAGCUCAGGUUUCAGGAUCCCGCCCCCACCUCUGCACCUCAGGAAGCCACAGACGGCAGCAAAGCAGCGGAGCCCCCGGCCCCCUGCCAGGCCCUGCUCAGCGUCGGGGACCUCCAGGCCGGCCUCAGAGGGACACGCUCCGCCCCCAGCUCCUUGGACAGUGCAACCAGAGACCCUGCUACCUCUGUCCCAGCCCCUGGGGCCCACCAGCCCCCCAAGACCCCAGAGGGGGAGAAGAGCCCAGAGUCCUCGGGGCUUCCCCAAAGCCAGAGUGCCCUGGCCCUCCAGCCACUCCCGAUGCCCAACGGCUCUGCCCCGGGAGGCCCAGCGGCCCCGGGCUCCCAGUGACUGCUUGGUCCGGUGGUGGCCACACGCUCCGUGCUCCGCGUGGACCCUGUCCGGGUGAGGGCUGGGCAGGUGCCGCAGAGGCCCUGUCGCCCAUAACCCACCCUGCCCCACCCACGUCCUGGCUGGAGUCCAGGAGGCCGGCGCCCGGGAGACAGCCCCCACUCCCCAUUGCACUGAGGAAAGAGAUUAGAGUUCUGUCUCCUAGAGUAAAGAUAGAGUGGGCUAGAGAGAGGAGAGAGCGCGCGCGAGAGAGACCUAUAUUAUAUAUUAUAUAUAUAUAUAUAUAUAUAUAUGUAUCUGAAGGGAGCAGAGUGGGCACGCAGAGAGCCAGGAAGAACGCGGGGCUGGGCGGCAGCGGUGAGGCCUUCACCCAGGCCCACUGGGGCUGCUGU